rnacentral:rRNA from 1 species
CCUACGGGUGGCUGCAGUCGAGAAUCUUCGGCAAUGGGCGCAAGCCUGACCGAGCGACGCCGCGUGGAGGACGAAGGCCUUCGGGUUGUAAACUCCUGUCGAGGGGGACCAAGGGCCGGCGCAGAGCCGGCCUUGAGGGAUCCCUGGAGGAAGCACGGGCUAAGUUCGUGCCAGCAGCCGCGGUAAGACGAACCGUGCGAACGUUAUUCGGAAUCAUUGGGCUUAAAGGGCGCGUAGGCGGGCCGGCGCAUCGGAUGCUGAAAGCCCCCGGCUCA